UGAGGAAUAUUGGUCAAUGGGCGAGAGCCUGAACCAGCCAAGUAGCGUGCAGGAAGACGGCCCUAUGGGUUGUAAACUGCUUUUAUAAGGGAAUAAAGUGAGCCUCGUGAGGCUUUUUGCAUGUACCUUAUGAAUAAGGACCGGCUAAUUCCGUGCCAGCAGCCGCGGUAAUACGGAAGGUCCGGGCGUUAUCCGGAUUUAUUGGGUUUAAAGGGAGCGUAGGCCGGAGAUUAAGCGUGUUGUGAAAUGUAGAUGCUCAACAUCUGCACUGCAGCGCGAACUGGUUUCCUUGAGUACGCACAAAGUGGGCGGAAUUCGUGGUGUAGCGGUGAAAUGCUUAGAUAUCACGUUAUUCUACCGAUUGCGAAGGCAGCUCACUGGAGCGCAACUGACGCUGAAGCUCGA
rnacentral:rRNA from 1 species